rnacentral:rRNA from 1 species
CUCUGUGGGAUCAGUGGCGAACGGGUGAGUAACACGUGAGCAACCUACCCCUGACUCUGGGAUAAGCGCUGGAAACGGCGUCUAAUACUGGAUACGAGUGGCGACCGCAUGGUCAGCUACUGGAAAGAUUUAUUGGUUGGGGAUGGGCUCGCGGCCUAUCAGCUUGUUGGUGAGGUAAUGGCUCACCAAGGCGUCGACGGGUAGCCGGCCUGAGAGGGUGACCGGCCACACUGGGACUGAGACACGGCCCAGACUCCUACGGGAGGCAGCAGUGGGGAAUAUUGCACAAUGGGCGCAAGCCUGAUGCAGCAACGCCGCGUGAGGGAUGACGGCCUUCGGGUUGUAAACCUCUUUUAGCAGGGAAGAAGCGAAAGUGACGGUACCUGCAGAAAAAGCGCCGGCUAACUACGUGCCAGCAGCCGCGGUAAUACGUAGGGCGCAAGCGUUAUCCGGAAUUAUUGGGCGUAAAGAGCUCGUAGGCGGUUUGUCGCGUCUGCUGUGAAAUCCGGAGGCUCAACCUCCGGCCUGCAGUGGGUACGGGCAGACUAGAGUGCGGUAGGGGAGAUUGGAAUUCCUGGUGUAGCGGUGGAAUGCGCAGAUAUCAGGAGGAACACCGAUGGCGAACGCAGAUCUCUGGGCCGUAACUGACGCUGAGGAGCGAAAGGGUGGGGAGCAAACAGGCUUAGAUACCCUGGUAGUCCACCCCGUAAACGUUGGGAACUAGUUGUGGGGUCCAUUCCACGGAUUCCGUGACGCAGCUAACGCAUUAAGUUCCCCGCCUGGGGAGUACGGCCGCAAGGCUAAAACUCAAAGGAAUUGACGGGGACCCGCACAAGCGGCGGAGCAUGCGGAUUAAUUCGAUGCAACGCGAAGAACCUUACCAAGGCUUGACAUAUACGAGAACGGGCC